rnacentral:lncRNA from 1 species
CGGUGGUAUUGCCAGUCUGGGCGGUGGUACUGCCCAUACUCAGUCUCUAAGAUUGUUUGGGUGGUGGUACCACCAGUCUAGGUGGUGGUACCACCCAGUGUCAGGCUAGAGGUGAUGGUACCGCCCGUACCCUAAAAUUUCGGGGGUUUGAAUUUUGGGCUCCAAAUUUGAAUCCAUUUGGGGCCUAUAAUACCCUAUAUAUUCCUGUAUGGAUUAGUAAGAAAUAUUGAGUAAAACCCUAUGAUUCUAAAGUUGU